UGCCUCCCCUCAGGACGUCCUAGCCACUCCCUCAGCUCCAGCAUGCCCUGCCCACAAGUCUUCCCCUUAAUCCAAGACUGGGGGACAUGUCAGGGAGUGUGGGAUUUUGAGAGCAUGGGUAAUACCUUCCCCAUGUAUCCUAACCCACCCAUGUCACACACCACCUCAGAUUUUGUGUGCUUUAAGUUUUCAACAAGAUGGCUGUUCUUGAAAACGUGUGCCUGUGUUUAUCACCUUUUAGCUUUGUAGAGACAGGAUGCACCUGGCUCAAUAUUUGGCCAAGCUAGCAAAAUGGGUGUUGACGUUGGAGGAGUGGGGAAAACAUGUCUGUUAGUAUGGAAAAACAUGCUUGUUUUUAAAGUAUAAAUAAAGAUGGCUGGAGCUAUUCGGGGCCGGCCACUUGUGUGAAA